rnacentral:rRNA from 1 species
UACGUAGGGGGCAAGCGUUGUCCGGAAUCAUUGGGCGUAAAGAGCGUGUAGGCGGCCAGAAAAGUCCGCUGUGAAAACUCGAGGCUCAACCUCGAGACGUCGACGGAAACCGUCUGGCUAGAGUCCGGAAGAGGAGUGUGGAAUUCCUGGUGUAGCGGUGAAAUGCGCAGAUAUCAGGAAGAACACCUAUGGCGAAGGCAGCACUCUGGGACGGUACUGACGCUGAGACGCGAAAGCGUGGGGAGCGAACAGG